rnacentral:rRNA from 1 species
GGGUUGUGAGGUUAAGCGACUAAGCGUACACGGUGGAUGCCCUGGCAGUCAGAGGCGAUGAAGGGCGUACUAAUCUGCGAUAAGCGCCGGUAAGGUGAUAUGAACCGUUAUAACCGGCGAUACCCGAAUGGGGAAACCCAGUGUGAUUCGUCACACUAUCAUUAACUGAAUCCAUAGGUUAAUGAGGCGAACCGGGGGAACUGAAACAUCUAAGUACCCCGAGGAAAAGAAAUCAACCGAGAUUCCCCCAGUAGCGGCGAGCGAACGGGGAGGAGCCCAGAGCCUGAAUCAGCAUGUGUGUUAGUGGAAGCGUCUGGAAAGGCGCGCGAUACAGGGUGACAGCCCCGUACACAAAAGCGCAUGUGCUGUGAGCUCGAUGAGUAGGGCGGGACACGUGGUAUCCUGUCUGAAUAUGGGGGGACCAUCCUCCAAGGCUAAAUACUCCUGACUGACCGAUAGUGAACCAGUACCGUGAGGGAAAGGCGAAAAGAACCCCGGCGAGGGGAGUGAAAAAGAACCUGAAACCGUGUACGUACAAGCAGUGGGAGCCCCACCACCAAAGCAUUUGCUGUACCGCGUUGACGGAGCGAAGCGACGU